UACGUAGGGGGCUAGCGUUGUCCGGAUUUAUUGGGCGUAAAGAGCGUGUAGGCGGCCAGAUAGGUCUGCUGUGAAAACUCGAGGCUCAACCUCGAGAUGUCGGCGGAAACCAUUUGGCUAGAGUCCGGAAGAGGAGUGUGGAAUUCCCGGUGUAGCGGUGAAAUGCGUAGAUAUCUGGAGGAACACCGGUGGCGAAGGCGGCAUUCUGGACCGACAUUGACGCUGAGGAGCGAAAGCCAGGGGAGCAAACGGG
rnacentral:rRNA from 1 species